CCUAUAGCCUAUAUGGAUUAAGGAAUACUGCAGUACAGAUUUAUCAAAACUAAUCAUGGGUCGAUCAUUGUGUUUAUGAAUGGAUGUAUAUAUAGACUUAAAUCCUUAAUCUAGCGAGGACGUCGAGGCUUAAAUGGGGGAAAUAUGUGAGGAUCCAUAUUGACAUAUAUAUUUAGUCCCAAAUUCAUUAUUCGCUAGAAAAAUUUUGAGUACUUAUAUAGAGCC
rnacentral:lncRNA from 1 species